AUUGAACCCUGGCGGCAGGCUUAACACAUGCAAGUCGAGCGGAGAUGAGGUGCUUGCACCUUAUCUUAGCGGCGGACGGGUGAGUAAUGCUUAGGAAUCUGCCUAUUAGUGGGGGACAACAUUCCGAAAGGAAUGCUAAUACCGCAUACGUCCUACGGGAGAAAGCAGGGGAUCUUCGGACCUUGCGCUAAUAGAUGAGCCUAAGUCGGAUUAGCUAGUUGGUGGGGUAAAGGCCUACCAAGGCGACGAUCUGUAGCGGGUCUGAGAGGAUGGUCCGCCACACUGGGACUGAGAAGCGGCCCAGACUCCUACGGGAGGCAGCAGUGGGGAAUAUUGGACAAUGGGGGGAACCCUGAUCCAGCCAUGCCGCGUGUGUGAAGAAGGCCUUAUGGUUGUAAAGCACUUUAAGCGAGGAGGAGGCUACUGAGACUAAUACUCUUGGAUAGUGGACGUUACUCGCAGAAUAAGCACCGGCUAACUCUGUGCCAGCCGCCGCGGUAAUAC
rnacentral:rRNA from 1 species